UCUUUGGUGCAGUAGGCAACACAUCAGUCUCCCAAGCUGAAGGUCCUGAGUUUGAAUCUCAGAAGA
rnacentral:tRNA from 1 species